rnacentral:rRNA from 1 species
CCCGCACAAGCGGAGGAACAUGUGGUUAAUUCGAUGAUACGCGAGGAACCUUACCUGGGCUUAAAUGGGGAGUGACAGCUGUCGAAAGAUGGUUUUCUUCGGACACUCUUCAAGGUGCUGCAUGGUUGUCGUCAGCUCGUGCCGUGAGGUGUCGGGUUAAGUCCCAUAACGAGCGCAACCCUUACCGUUAGUUACCAUCAGGUUAAGCUGGGGACUCUAGCGGGACUGCCACCGUAAGGUGAGAGGAAGGUGGGGAUGACGUCAAAUCAGCACGGCCCUUAUGUCCAGGGCUACACACGUGUUACAAUGGCCGGUACAAAGGGCAGCUACUUCGCGAGAAGAUGCUAAUCUCGAAAGCCGGUCUCAGUUCGGAUCGAAGUCUGCAACCCGACUUCGUGAAGCUGGAUUCGCUAGUAAUCGCGCAUCAGCCAUGGCGCGGUGAAUACGUUCCCGGGCCUU